UAGUAAGAUAAUCGUUCUUAUCAGGAAGGUCUCAACUCUCAUCUCCCUUUCUAAGGACAGAAAUGCUAGGAGUAUAACAUGGAAGGUGUUCCAGAUGUGGACAUUCUCAUUUCCUGUUCAAGAAAACACAAUCUGAUAGGAAUGAAGAGGGCAUACUCUGUAACAGGCUGUUAAAAAGAUAACAAAACACAAGUGGGCAGACCAGAUUUGGCCUGUAGGCUAUAGUCUGCUGACUCCUAUUCUUCAAGAUGAACACAUAAGAAGAGAUGAUGUCUUAGUUUCAGAACUCCCAGUGGCCAGAAGAAUCCCUAGAAAAUUCAGAUGCAGCCCUCA